rnacentral:rRNA from 1 species
GACGAACGCUGGCGGCGUGCCUAAUACAUGCAAGUAGAACGCACAGUUUAUACCGUAGCUUGCUACACCAUAGACUGUGAGUUGCGAACGGGUGAGUAACGCGUAGGUAACCUGCCUGGUAGCGGGGGAUAACUAUUGGAAACGAUAGCUAAUACCGCAUAAUAUUAAUUAUUGCAUGAUAAUUAAUUGAAAGGUGCAAUUGCACCACUACCAGAUGGACCUGCGUUGUAUUAGCUAGUAGGUGAGGUAACGGCUCACCUAGGCGACGAUACAUAGCCGACCUGAGAGGGUGAUCGGCCACACUGGGACUGAGACACGGCCCAGACUCCUACGGGAGGCAGCAGUAGGGAAUCUUCGGCAAGGGACGAAAGUCUGACCGAGCAACGCCGCGUGAGUGAAGAAGGUUUUCGGAUCGUAAAGCUCUGUUGUAAGAGAAGAACGGGUGUGAGAGUGGAAAGUUCACACUGUGACGGUAGCUGACCAGAAAGGGACGGCUAACUACGUG